rnacentral:rRNA from 1 species
AAUGUAAACGUUUUAUAUAAACAAAAUAAAACUUUCAACAACGGAUCUCUUGGUUCUCGCAUCGAUGAAGAACGCAGCGAAAUGCGAUAAGUAAUGUGAAUUGCAGAAUUCAGUGAAUCAUCGAAUCUUUGAACGCACCUUGCACUCUCUGGUAUUCCGGAGAGUACGCCUGUUUGAGUGUCAUGAAACUCUCACUCCCUACCUUUUCUUAACUGAGGAGGAAGGGACGUGGACUUGGACUCUGCUGGUCUUUACGAUCGGCUUGUCUGAAAUGAAUUAGCUGGAUCCUCUUUGUAAUUGGUUCUACUCGACGUGAUAAGUAUUUCGUCGAGGACAGUCUUAACGGACUGGCCGAGAGAAGAAGAGUCUUUUAGAUCCGCUUCUAAUCCGUACGACUUUAUGUCUACACUUUUUAUGAUCUGGCCUCAAAUCAGGUGGGACUACCCGCUGAACUUAAGCAUAUCAAUAAGCGGAGGAAAAGAAACUAACAAGGAUUCCCCUAGUAACGGCGAGUGAAGCGGGAUGAGCUCAAAUUUAAAAUCUGGCAGUCUAAGAUUGUCCGAGUUGUAGUCUAGAGAAGCGUCUUCCGUGC